rnacentral:rRNA from 1 species
GGGCGUCGAGCGGCGGACGGGUGAGUAAUGCCUAGGAAAUUGCCUUGAUGUGGGGGAUAACCAUUGGAAACGAUGGCUAAUACCGCAUAAUGCCUACGGGCCAAAGAGGGGGAUCUUCGGACCUCUCGCGUCAAGAUAUGCCUAGGUGGGAUUAGCUAGUUGGUGAGGUAAUGGCUCACCAAGGCGACGAUCCCUAGCUGGUCUGAGAGGAUGAUCAGCCACACUGGAACUGAGACACGGUCCAGACUCCUACGGGAGGCAGCAGUGGGGAAUAUUGCACAAUGGGCGAAAGCCUGAUGCAGCCAUGCCGCGUGUAUGAAGAAGGCCUUCGGGUUGUAAAGUACUUUCAGUUGUGAGGAAGGGUGUGUAGUUAAUAGCUGCGCAUCUUGACGUUAGCAACAGAAGAAGCACCGGCUAACUCCGUGCCAGCAGCCGCGGUAAUACGGAGGGUGCGAGCGUUAAUCGGAAUUACUGGGCGUAAAGCGCAUGCAGGUGGUUCAUUAAGUCAGAUGUGAAAGCCCGGGGCUCAACCUCGGAACUGCAUUUGAAACUGGUGAACUAGAGUGCUGUAGAGGGGGGUAGAAUUUCAGGUGUAGCGGUGAAAUGCGUAGAGAUCUGAA